GGUCUGCGGCCGAUUAGGUAGUUGGUUAGGUAACGGCUUACCAAGCCAUUGAUCGGUACGGGUUGUGAGAGCAAGAGCCCGGAGAUGGAACCUGAGACAAGGUUCCAGGCCCUACGGGGUGCAGCAGGCGCGAAACCUCCGCAAUGUGAGAAAUCGCGACGGGGGGAUCCCAAGUGCCAUUCUUAACGGGAUGGCUUUUCAUUAGUGUAAAGAGCUUUCGGAAUAAGGGCUGGGCAAGACCGGUGCCAGCCGCCGCGGUAACACCGGCAGCUCUAGUGGUAGCAGUUUUUAUUGGGCCUAAAGCGUCCGUAGCCGGUUUAAUAAGUCUCUGGUGAAAUCCUGUAGCUUAACUGUGGGAAUUGCUGGAGAUACUAUUAGACUUGAGACCGGGAGAGGUUAGAGGUACUCCCAGGGUAGAGGUGAAAUUCUGUAAUCCUGGGAGGACCGCCUGUUGCGAAGGCGUCUAACUGGAACGGUUCUGACGGUGAGGGACGAAAGUUAGGGGCGCGAACCGGAUUAGAUACCCGGGUAGUCCUAACUGUAAACGAUGCGGACUUGGUGUUGGGGUGGCUUUGAGCUGCUCCAGUGCCGAAGGGAAGCUGUUAAGUCCGCCGCCUGGGAAGUACGGUCGCAAGACUGAAACUUAA
rnacentral:rRNA from 1 species